UCGGUGAGAGAUGUUUGUUUGCUUUGAUCACGUCCACCACAUAGUAUAUGAUGCGCUACACAUACACACACAGACAUAACAUAUAGACAUAACAAAACAAGUUUAUAUAUAGCAAUUGAAACCCCGAAAAGAAACAAAAUCAAAAUCAAAUUAAGAAAAAAAAGAACAUACGUACAUCUGUGACGUUGAAGUAACCUAGUGCUACUUUUGCAUAUUCUUUGAGACGCUUCGCUGUUUUACAAUCAUCAAUGUUAUAGAUGAGUUGUUCAUCUCCAACGCUGGGCUACAAUUUAUUUUAAAAUAGGAUAUUAUAAUUACAACAAGAUAACAAAUAAAUAUAAGAGAGAGAUAUGUAGAGAGAGAAACACACAGAAAUCUGGCGUAACUUCUCAUCUGAAUCCUCAUCU
rnacentral:lncRNA from 1 species